CCUACGGGUGGCAGCAGUAGGGAAUUUUCCGCAAUGGGCGAAAGCCUGACGGAGCAAUACCGCGUGAGGGAUGACGGCCUAUGGGUUGUAAACCUCUUUUUUCAGGGAGGAAUAAAUGACGUGUACCUGAAGAAUAAGCAUCGGCUAACUCCGUGCCAGCAGCCGCGGUAAGACGGAGGAUGCAAGUGUUAUCCGGAAUCACUGGGCGUAAAGCGUCUGUAGGUGGUCAAAUAAGUCAACUGUUAAAUCUUGAGGCUCAACCUCAAAACCGCAGUCGAAACUAUUAGACUAGAGUAUAGUAGGGGUAAAGGGAAUUUCCAGUGGAGCGGUGAAAUGCGUAGAUAUUGGAAGGAACACCGAUGGCGAAGGCACUUUACUGGGCUAUUACUAACACUCAGAGACGAAAGCUAGGGUAGCAAAUGGGAUUAGAUACCCUAGUAGUC
rnacentral:rRNA from 1 species